rnacentral:rRNA from 1 species
ACGCUCGACACCUACGGGGAGGCAGCAGUGGGGAAUAUUGCACAAUGGGGGAAACCCUGAUGCAGCGACGCCGCGUGAGCGAAGAAGUAUUUCGGUAUGUAAAGCUCUAUCAGCAGGGAAGAAACUGACGGUACCUGACUAAGAAGCACCGGCUAAAUACGUGCCAGUAGCCGCGGUAAUCUGAGCGGGCUGGCAAGGC